UCUGGUCCCAUUUGUCCUUUGUGCAGCAAUAAACAUCUUAUUUACGUAUGCCCGAAAUUUAAGUCACAGUAAUAUGAAUGAUCAUAUAAGUAUUUUUACUGAGGAUAAUAUUGCCACAUUCUCAAAAAAUUUCCAAACCCUUCGAUUUAUUAUCGACAGCGCUAGUUUAUGUUUUUGGCAUAAAUCGUGUUCCAGUUUCGUGCCAUUUCUCACUCGAUAGUGGCUCGCAAUCGAAUGUUAUCACCCAGGAUAUGGUAACAACAUUGAAGUUAUGUACGCGAAAGAUAAGUUUCCAGUUUCCGGAAUAAAUCAAAUUAAGACAAUUCACCAACAAUUUGAUACAACGAUUCGCCCUUCAUACAAUUCAAGUAUUUCUUGCUUAAUUAUUGAUAAAAUAAGCGAUUUUACAUCACAGAUGUCUUUUAAUAUAUCAAAUCUAAAAAUACCCGAUUUUUUCAUCACUGACCACGAUUUUAAUAUAGCGUCAAGUAUUGAUAUGCUUAUCGGAUCUUCACUUUUUUAUAAUUUACUCCUACUACUUAUCUUACUUACUUAUCUAUCAUAUCUACUACUUACUCCUACUACUAAUCUGAACUUCCAUUGCGUUUUUUUUUUAUGUUUUCAGCUGUUUCACUAUUCUAAUGUAAUGUGCCUCAUUUAUUAAAAUCUAAAAGAUUUUUUUAAAUAUAUUUUUAAAAUUGCAGAGGACAAAAAAACAAAUGCUAUUUAGAUGCUUUAUAUGAAAUUGAUAAAGCAGAUCCUUUUGCGCUUAAAGCUGUAACGAAGUUACUAUUUUUUUAUAUAUUUAAUUAACUUUUUCAAUUUUUCCGCCGAUUACGAAUUUUAUUUAGUUAAUUUAUCUUUCUACUCUUCCAUACAUUGAUAAUAAUUGAACGCAUUCCAUGCGCUCGAUGCAGCCCGCUUGGUACCGCUAGUACUAGAUUGGCGUAUCGAGACGCGCACCCGGCUCGGCGCACGCCGCCACCACGACGGUUUUCAACUGGAGGGAAGGACUGGGGAAAAUAAGAAGCGACGCGCUAGCCAGAGAAAGGGAGUUCCCACACCACCACCACCGACAGUACUAGCACCAGCUCCAGCACCAGCACCAGCAGUCACAGUCGCCGCAGUCCGCCACGCAGAAGCCAGCACCGAGAACCAGCCGCCGCCUAGCAGUGGGAAAGCCUGCCGUCCUCCGUUUUUAUCGAAUUCACCGUCGCUCCGAAACCGCCCGCAAGAUUUGCUCCAACCCGGUGACGAGACUCUCCGCAUCGGAGCCAAUUUAAGCGCUAGGUGUCUCAACUAGCCACCUACACAUCGCCUUGCCUUCCGCCCUGAUUAAGAAGAAAGACAUUUUUCUUUGAAUCUAAAAUAAACUUUUGACUUGUAAAUAGUUUUGGGAAAACACGACCUGCUCUUUAUUUUAUAACUACA